rnacentral:lncRNA from 1 species
UGCUUGAUUUUUCUCUGAAAAGUGAAAACAGUAGUACUCAAAACUAGCUCCGAUCCAUACUAAGUGUCGGGAUAUAAUAUACUAGAUCCUAGAUCCCGACACUUACUAUAAAUCAGAGGGAGUAGUUUUAAGCUUCAGUGCUUCUUGCUUCACACAGGGGUACCGUUCUCAAUUAUCGUUAUUUUCUUUUGAAAUGGUACCGUUCUCAAUUGGGGUAGCAUGUAUGGUGUUUUUCUACCUCUGUCGAUUUCACCGGAACCAGAUAGACGGAGGCUGAGGUCUCUCUUCCAGUCGAAUGCAAGCGACCACCAACGGACGGAGCCGACAUGCCAACCGCCACAGCAACCGACCCGCCGCAGCCCACGGUGCCGCCAGCACAGGAUACCAGCGUCGCCACGCUGCAGUGCAUGCAGCGGGCCAACGCGGCAGUCGAAUUGGUACGUGUCCUGACUCUGCCUGCGUCUGGCCAGUCCACGGGAACGAACCCGGCCGGCCGAAACUACUUGGACAAGCAACUGCGGGAGAAUGCUCGUGGUGCUGGCCUGCUGGGCGCCGGUGCCCGGUGGGCGCUGGCAUGACACCAAGUAAAUAAAGUUCCGCGGGCUAAUCAAAGCGUUGGCGGG